CUCCGGCAACACAUCCACUCCUGCCGGUACAACCAGCGACGUAGUGAAGCGCAUUAUCAGCCCGGUGACAAGGUGAGGGUAUGGACUCCAGUGCAACGC
rnacentral:lncRNA from 1 species